GUGCUUGCUAAGGCAGCACAUACACUAAAAUUGCAACAAUAGAGAAGAUUAGCAUGGACCCUGCACGAGGAUGACAUGCAAAUUUGUGAAGCGUUUCAUAUUUAA